UAUACUUCUCUUUACAGAUCUGGGAAGACUUCCUGAGAAUCAGUGGCAUAUCACUUGAGAAAAAGGAGAGAAGUGGCCCUGAGAUGCCUGAUUAAGUAUAUGGGGGAGAGCCUGGAAGACCUUAUCAGUGUCCACCACGACAGCCCGUGGUCAGAGAUGUGCCAAACCUGUCGAAAGCAUGAUGCCUUCUGUUUGGACUUACCUAUGCCUCGACCUCAAGUAUCCCUCAAAACGGGUGUAUACUUUUGAGAUAUAUCAGAGGCUCUUUGUGGGAUUGGACCUCAUGCGUCCGAAGCCAUCAUCGAAGCAUGCAAAUCUCCUGACCAAGUUGUCUUAGGUGAUUUCUCAAUGGCAUCUGGCAAUGCAGUUCCAGUGUGAUACAAUGUGAUGUUAUGGCUCACAUGUACCUUUAUCUAAACAUUGCAGAUUGGGCAGUUUGGAUAUUUUACUUUACUGUUCAAAACAGGUUGAAAAUGCACUUACUGUAUACAGUGCUUGUUUUAUAUUAUGGUGCACAUGUGCAGCCACAUUUAUUGACUGUUUUGUAGUCCCUGUUAAAAGUGACACUGGUUGACUUUGAAUAAAUGUUAUUGUCUUCAA